CAGCAGCCGCGGGAAUACGAAGGGGGCUGGCGUUGUUCGGAAUUAUAGGGCGUAAAGGGCUCGCAGGCGGUUUCUUAAGUCUGAUGUGAAAGCCCCCGGCUCAACCGGGGAGGGUCAUUGGAAACUGGGAAACUUGAGUGCAGAAGAGGAGAGUGGAAUUCCACGUGUAGCGGUGAAAUGCGUAGAGAUGUGGAGGAACACCAGUGGUGAAGGCGACUCUCUGGUCUGUAACUGACGCUGAGGAGCGAAAGCGUGGGGAGCGAACAGGAUUAGAUACCCCAGUAGUCCCUGUCUCUUAUAA
rnacentral:rRNA from 1 species